UACAGAGGUCCCAAGCGUUGUUCGGAUUCACUGGGCGUAAAGGGUGCGUAGGCGGUCGGGUAAGUCUGAUGUGAAAUCUCACAGCUUAACUGUGAAACUGCAUUGGAUACUAUCCGGCUUGAGGAAUGGAGGGGAGACUGGAAUACUGGUGUAGCAGUGAAAUGCGUAGAUAUCAAGUGGAACACCAGUAGGCGAAGGCGACUUACUGGGUCACACCUGACCGCUGAGGUACGAAAGCGUGGGGAGCAAACGGG
rnacentral:rRNA from 1 species